ensembl:lncRNA
CUGGUGUCGUGCCAAAUUUGCAAACCUUUUAAUGUGUUUCUGUUUCUCAGGAGGGAGAAAACAGAAGCUUUGGGAUUCUUCUUUUUAACCUCCAAAGUGUUAUGGGUGUGAAAGCUGUGGACAAAAUCUUCCCCACUGGAUGCUGUCUACAGAGCGGGUUUCCCCAGUUGAGAGUUGAACCUCCUACCAGUUGUGUGACCUUCGGACUAUGGGUAUUGAUGAAGGCACACAGCUAUAAUCUCAGAUUAUGAUGUACCUGCACCUUCACUUCUGCCAGUAUUACUUGCUGUGCUCAGCCAGCUGCAGAGCGACUCUGCUGGAGGAAAGAUCACAUCCAAGGACCUCCAUCCAAUGUCAGGGCAUUAUCUAGCUCAGCUUGGCACAGUUCAAGUGCACAACUGCAACCUUUUCCAUGACCCAAAAGUCAGUGCCACUCCGUGGGCUGGCAGUUUGCAAAUAAAACGUAUCCUUAAUGAAGUGUGGAAGCUCCUGUUCUUUUCCUUCCUCAGGAGACGUGCCUUAAUCUCUGGCUCACAGCCUUGUCAAAUGCUGCAGUAAAGAACUGGCAAGCUCAGUGCUGCUAAUGGAUUGAAAUCUCCACCAGGUUGUUCUUUUUUAAUCUUUUUCCCCACUUUUCUUCUUUCUUCUUCUUCUUCUUUUCUUUUUUUUUUUUGUCUUUCUUUUUUUCUUCCUAAAUACUGCAGCAACCACAGUAAUAUUCCAGUCCUCAGUCUUCUGUAAUUAUUGGUUAGGGACUUUGGACUGAAGAACAUGUAAAGGAAACAUAUAUUGCACCACUAAAAAGUGUCAAGGAUUUGGUUGCUUAUGUAGGUCAAUCAUUAAGGGAAAGAAAUAAGAUUAAAACCAGAGGCAGUUCCGCGUAUUUGAAGUUCCUCCUGAAGAUAUAAAAACUGUGGUGUUUAUGCUUAUAACUUCUGACAGGUUGGCUAAGUCAUAGGCGUUUUGUCUCUCCUAUUGUAGAAGUGGAGAAUGUUUGGGCUUAUUUAUUUAUUUACUGUCUUUUUGCCAGAAGGUAACUGUAAGCCUGUGUGUGAAUCACAUCUGAAUUGCUUGCAAAUGAGUAGGUACAACGUUGGAAAUUAUGACAGACUCUCGUUUUUGGUCUUUUUGUUAUUGUUGUUAGACUAAUACUGGGGUUUGGGGCAGCUCUCCCUAAUCCUGACAUAAACUGGAAAGCUGUGACUGUUUCAGAAUUUAUGUUGUUUUCUUUUUUUUUUCUUAUUACAGAGAUAUGCUGUGCAACCUCAGCUUGCCUCUUCUAUGAGUUCUGCUCUUGUGCAGCUGAAAGACAUCACUGAGCAAAACUGACCCCUUUGCAAUGGUAUUUUGAGCCUUGGAUGCAAAGAUGGAUGCACCAUUACAGCGUGGUUUGCAACCUGAUGUUUUUCAGAAUUUGUGAGUCUUUACAGUAACUUGUGUUGCAACCCAAAAUCUGUGAAUAUUAAGCUCAGGGGAAAAACAGAACAAAAAAAGAGAGGUGGGAAAGCAAUUAUGCACUCAUUCAUGCUAGGGGCAGGAAUUUGUAGCGUUCCUUUGAUCGCUGUUAACCUGGUUCUGUCAAUACUGAUAACUUUAUGAUGUCCUGGUAAGAGGAAAAUCCAAUCCACGCACUGACGGGCACCGAAAGAAAUUCAGAGCUGAAAUGUUACCAAGUGAUGAGUGUGCAGGUAGCAUUGCUUAUUCCAUGUCAUUGUGCUGUGGAAUUGAUGGUAGGAUGAUGCUCAUUUGAGAGACAGAGGUUGUAUGCUGUAUUUAAAGUGGUGUUUUCCAUAGAGCUCCAUAGAGCUCCUGUCUAUCUAUGGGAACUGCUGAAACACUGGCAAAUCUAAUCUUGGAACAUUUCCAUCAUCAAAGAUCGUCUGUUCUGCUGUGGAAGACCACAUAGACUCAGGUCCUCAUCCUUUUUGCCCAUUGAAAUGUUAUGUGAAUGAAAGUGAGUGUACUCAGUGCAUCCACACAGUGUUGCAGGUAGAUGGCCUACAACCAGCAUGUCAUCUCUGCAUCUUCCCAGCUUGCAGUGUCCUUAAAAAAACACAUACGUAUAAUACUUCUGAGCUGCCUACUGAAAGCAGCAGUUUGCAAUAUAUGAGGGCAUUUUUUCUAAAGGCUGAAUUUUAUAUCAAAAGGUGCACUGAAUCCUUGAAUGAUAUUUGAGGAUAGCAAAAGACACCUGAGUUCUUGUGAAUAAAAGGCAGUUUCUUAAAGAGCUCA